rnacentral:sRNA from 1 species
CUUUAACUUACUAUUACUGGUCCCAUGACUAUGUGCACGCUUGUCAUCUUUAUCAUUUCUCCCAACUGUGCACAUAUUGUAGACCCUGGAGGUUUUUGGAUUUGUUCCGAGUGGGGACUGCUGUGCUUCAAAGAAAAAGAAGUCGGCUUUCCCUUGAACUUUUUCCAGGUCUAUGUCAUUUUUCACAACCUCUUGAAUGUGUUUAAAUGUUGAAAUAAAGAAAAGUUAAUAAAUACAACUUUCAGCAACGGAUCUCUUGGCUCUCGCAUCGAUGAAGAACGCAGCGAAAUGCGAUAAGUAAUGUGAAUUGCAAAUUCAGUGAAUCAUCGAAUCUUUGAACGCAUCUUGCGCUCCUUGGUAUUCCGAGGAGCAUGCCUGUUUGAGUGUCAUUUAAACUCUCAAACCACAUCAUUCAUUUGACGUGGCUUUGGACGUGGGGGUUGCCGGCUUUCUUCUCAGAGAGGCCUGCUCCCCUGAAAAGCAUUAGUGGUAUCUGGAGUGGAAAACCGCUAGGUGUGAUAAUACUGUCUAUGCCUUUGGUUAUGCCACAAUGUGCUGCUUCCAACCGCACAUUUUUUGACAAACUUGACCUCAAAUCAGGUAGGACUACCCGCUGAACUUAAGCAUAUCAAUAANGCGGAGGA